rnacentral:lncRNA from 1 species
UUUUUUUAAAAGUCUAUCCCAAUCCUUGGGAUUUUUUUUUUUUAAAAAGUCUAUCCCAAUCCUUGGGAUUCUUUAAAAAGUCUAUCCCAUUCCUUGGGAUUUUUUAAAAGGUCUAUCCCAAUCUUUGGGAUUUUUAAAAAGUCUAUCCCAAUCUUUGGGAUUUUUAAAAAGUCUAUCCCAAUCUUUGGGAUUAAAAAGUCUAUCCCAUUUCUUGGGAUUUUUUUUUUUUAAAUGUCUAUCCCAAUCUUUUUGAUUUUAAAAAGUCUAUCCCAUUCCUUGGGAUUUUUUAAAAGGUCUAUCCCAAUCUUUGGGAUUUUUAAAAAGUCUAUCCCAUUUCUUGGGAUUUUUUUUUAAAGUCUAUCCCAAUCCUUGGGAUUAAAAAGUCUAUCCCAAUCCCAUUCCUUGGGAUUUUUUAAAAGGUCUAUCCCAAUCUUUGGGAUUUUUAAAAAGUCUAUCCCAAUCUUUGGGAUUAAAAAGUCUAUCCCAUUUCUUGGGAUUUUUUUUUUUUAAAAGUCUAUCCCAAUCCUUGGGAUUUUAAAAAGUCUAUCCCAAUCCUUGGGAUUUUUUAAGAAGUCUAUCCCAAUCUUUGGGAUUUUUAAAAAGUCUAUCCCAUUUCUUGGGAUUUUUUUUUUUUAAAAGUCUAUCCCAAUCCUUGGGAUUUUAAAAAGUCUAUCCCAAUCCUUGGGAUUUUUUAAAAAGUCGAUGCCUGAAAGCCUGGCUCCUUGAGGGAUCGACUUUUUCCUUGGAAGAAAAAGUCGAACUUCAAAAAGUCGAUCCCUAGUGCACUUGGAGGAUUCCUUAGAAGUCGAUGCCUGAAAGCCUGGCUCCUUGAGGGAUCGACUUUUUUUCUUGGANN